UGGGACCUACGGGGCGCAGCAGUGGGGAAUAUUGGGCAAUGGGCGCAAGCCUGACCCAGCAACGCCGCGUGAAGGAAGAAGGCUUUCGGGUUGUAAACUUCUUUUCUUGGGGACGAAGAAAGUGACGGUACCCAAGGAAUAAGCCACGGCUAACUACGUGCCAGCAGCCGCGGUAAUACGUAGGUGGCAAGCGUUAUCCGGAUUUACUGGGUGUAAAGGGCGUGUAGGCGGGCCUGCAAGUCAGAAGUGAAAUCUGGGGGCUUAACCCCUAAACUGCUUUUGAAACUGUGGGUCUUGAGUGAUGG
rnacentral:rRNA from 1 species